ACACCUUAGACUGCAUUUCUGUGACCAUCUGACCAGUCUGCCUAAAUUUAACCAGGUUAUGCCUCUGCAUUUCACAACUGGAGAGAGGAAAGGAAGACGCUUCAAGUACACAUAAAUUGUGAUGCAGCUUUCAAUUUCGUGGAUGUCACCAACAAAGAGACACAAGUCCAGGUGUUGUGACUGGGUUUCGUUCAUGCUGUCUGAGCCAACCAGAGGUCCUGAGGAAGUGUUUAGUGUGAACCAGAUGAAGCCUACUGAUGCUGACUUUCUGAACAGAGGGCUGGCAGAGGUCAGUACCACUCCAGCACUGGGGCAGGCAGCACGGUCAGAACUCACCCUGACACUGUUACCUUUCGUUUCAUUGCUUGCAGGAGGAAUGCAGUUUACAAAGUACAGAGGGAAUGCUUUCAACAUGGGCAUAUUGAUUAACAGGAAUUGUUUUCUUCCAUUUUCUUUCUAAUGUUUCUUUGCAUUGUCUAUUCAUCUACUCAUCCCGCAUUGACUGCACUUGAAGGUUAAGCUCAACAGAUUUGCAUGUGAAAAUUUCCAGUGCCACCUGUCGUCAGAGGCAACAGACAGGAAUUAGCAUGAUGCUGCAUGUCCUCAAAUACACUUUUCCUUUGAAAGAUGGGGAGAAUAAAUGUUGGUAUUUCACAUUUUAAAUGCUGUUGCAGAUUAGAAUUAAACUCUGGAGGGGCACACACAGAAAUGUUCGUUUCCGAUUUAUGCCUUUACUUCCCAAGUCCUGCUGCUACCUGUGAGCCCGAGGCAGUGAUAGAUGAUGGUCCUCAGAACCACCUUUAAAUGAUCUGCCCAAUGCCCUGGGAGGGCUUCUGAGGUUUUUGUCUCAUUUUAUAGCAUACAUAGCAUCCUUUGAUUUUCCUGACAUAAUUCGUAAAUGAAAGGCUUUAACGAAGCCUUGAACAGCACACAGUCCUUGCCAGAAACUAAUUUGCACUGAACUUUUUAAAGAACUCUGCUGAUUGUUUGCCUUUUCAUAGCAAUGUAUUUAAGUAAUCAUAAUGUCUGAGUGGAAGUCUAUUACUAUCUGUUUGCCUCAGUACUUUGACAUUUGAAUAGGAAUUAUCCUAUUUAAUUCUUUAUGCCUCAGAACACACACACAAAAAAAAAAAAACAACAAAAAAGCCCACCAAAACAAAAGAAAAACCCCAACCAAACCAAACCAAACAAACAACCAAAAAAGCCAAACAAAAAACAAACCAAAAAACAAAAAACCCACAAACAAAUAAACAAAACCCACAAAACCAAUAAACAAAAAAGGGAUAGAAUUGUUAGUAGUGUUUAGGUACUUAUGACAAGAUUGUAGAAAAAUAAAUUAUGGAAAGUAAAAGCUCUUAAGUUAUUUCUUGCCCUAAAUCCUACCUUUACUUCUGCUGAUAUGUAAUGGGGAGGCCAGGCAGUUAGAGGUGGCAAAUUGCCCUUCUGAGGAUCAUAGGACUCCUUGCCAUGGCAAAGGAGAGUGUAGAAGCAAAUGGUCACAGUGUACAUGGGCUGCAGAGCCUGGUGAUACUUGCUCACACCAUCCACAACAAAUGCGCUUCACGCAAAAUAAGCCAGCAGCAUCUCAGCACCUGCAGACAUAAAGCCUGAAUGCUUUUGUUGGUGUAUUCCAGAAGAAGAAGGAAUAACACCAAAGCUGUGGGUUUGAUAUCCAUACAGGCCAUUCACUUAAGAGUUGGACUCGAUGAUCCUUGUGGGUCCCUUCCAAAUCAGAACAUUCUGUGGAAAGUUCCGGAACUGGAGCGGCAUGGGGAGAGGUGAAUUAGCAGAGAGGGUCUGGCAAACCAUGGGGACUUGCUAAAGCAGGUGUGCCCCAGAGCAGCUGUCAGGGAUCAUGUGGAUCCUAGAGAGUGGGAUAAAAGGACACACUCACAAACAAAAGCUUGCUUUGAAAAUAGUGACAGUAUUUUCAUAACAUCGCUUUUUAAGUGUCUAGCUCACUAAUUUCCAGUUCCGGAUUUAAUUAAACUUGAUUAGAUUUUCCAUGGAAAAUGGAGUAGACACCAAGAUUGCGGGGGUUAAGUCAGAAUGAUUUUGCACAUAUCUCAAUCAGAAAAUUCUAUUUUUCAAGUAAACCAGCAGCAAAUAUAGUCAAUUCUAAGUAUUGUACAAUUUACUGCACUUCAAGACUUGGUUCUAACAGUUAAUAAACUAAAGAAUACAAUUAAUUGUGGGAAAAUGUGCUUAAAUUGCAUACACAAAGAAAAGUACCAUGCAGUAUAUUUUGAGACAUAUUUUUGAGAACAAAGUCUUUUCCUGUUGUUAGGAAACCAACCUUCUUUGCAACAGGGAAAGGAAAGACAGCGUUAGAAAAACUUCAAAAAAUAAUAGAUAUCAGAUGACUUCAAUGAUUAUCAGAAUACAAAAGCUUUUCAAUAGCAUUAAUGAGUACAAUUUUCAAUAGAGACUCCUAAAGCCCAUACAUUGGCAGAAGUGAUUAAUGCAAAAUAUGAAUUAAUAAAUAUUUGCAUUAUUAUUCAUUUUAUUUGUAAAAUAUAAUAGCUAGAAAGAAACAUAUCUUCCAAACAGACUUCUCAAAAUGAAGUCUUUACUAUCAACCUCAAUAAUUAUGUGUGUUUACUCUGCAUUUAACCCUUCCAACAGCUGAAAGGCAUUUCAGAGCAGCCCUGAGG
rnacentral:lncRNA from 13 species